GCCGGUGUUGGCGGUGGCAGCAGUCCCCCAGGUCCCAGCUGGAGCGGGAUCAGUCGCUGUCAGGGCUUGGGGAAGGGACAGAAGCCCGUCUGCCCAGGGGGGUGUGCGCGGGGUGCGCAGGCGGCAGCAGCAGGGAGGAUUUUCCAUGUUCCUUUUGGGAUGGGGAGGUUCAUAGGUGGAAGUGAUGGGGGAGUAGGAGGUUUGAUUUCCCCCCCACUCCCCCGAUUUUUUUUUUUUUUUACUCUGUGAGAUUGAACUGAUCACCUGCCUCAGAUCUUGAGACUGAAGUAAACUUGAGAAAGCUUAGGAGUGCGGUCUGUUUACUUGUUUCCUGACUGGCAAUAGGAAUUUCUUCUCCUGUUCUUUUCUCGCUGCUGUGCUCUUACAGGUGUUUCUUCCAAACUGAGAUGUAUGAAGAGGUGUUGUCAUUUACUGCUUAUGUUCUGUCCUUUAAAGGUCCCGUGUCUGGUGGAUUUUCGUGGUCACUGCUGGUCUGUUUGCUAAUAAGUUCAAUGUUUGUUUUACUACUUCUUUAUUUAUCUUGGAUUUUUAAUGAGCUUUUGUGUUCAGAAAUGGUGGAUUGACAGCUGCGGCUUAGUCUGAACUCUUAGUAUUCCUUCAGCUGCAGUGCAAGGGACCAGAAAGUUUUCUAACAGGUUAAUGCUUGCGCUGUGCCUCAGGAAGGAUGAGGGCUCCAGGAAGGUACAUCUCAGAGGUACCUGUCCCAUCAGAUGCUGUUAGACAGCUGUUUGAGGAUUGUACUUGAUUUGUUUUGAGUGGCAACUUGAAUUUAUUUUGUCCUAUAGUUGCUCUUUGCAACAUUGUGCAUCUCAUAGCACUUGGUGUUAAAGUUGGCAUUUGAUCUUCUGUUUUCAAAUUAAGUGGUAUGUUAGAAGUCCAGUUGUUUACUCCUCAGUGUGGGAAGUUUGAUUUCAGUUGUUUUUUUUAAUUCAGGUAUUUUUCUUUCCCUUUUUGAAGCACUGACUUCUGCCUUUUGCAGCUGGAUUUUAAUGUUAAUUUACAGCGUGGACUAAAUGCCUGUUUUUGUUUGAAGAGUGACCCUGUGGCCUUUUAUGGUUCUUGUUUAUCUCAAACUUUGAGUAGCUCUACAUGAAUAGUAUGUUGGGUUUUUUUAAUAAAGUUUGUGUGUGUCUAGACAUAUUUGAGUGUUACCAAAAUCCAAAAGAAGAAAGUGAUUAAAGAAUUAAAGAAAAUGCUUGUGUGCUUGAUGCUAAAUAAAGAAGUCCUUGGAUUGAAUAUACUCUGAUAGGACCUAAAGUUUCUGUUCUGCUCUUGAGAGACACUUCAGUUUGCUUCCUUUAGGAGGCCUGAUUACAGCUGGUUUGGUGCUUAUCUUGUUUUGAUUCUGUUAACUUUGGAAGGCCUUGAUUUGAUUUUAUCUCCCCCCCCCCCUUAAAUUUUGGAAAUGGAGUUCUGGAAGAGACUUAAAUGUGACAAGUAUUUGCACUUUACUCUGUCCCUGUCUCAGUUCAGUGGUCACCUUUAGGAAAGGGCCACAAGGCUGGAGAGUGCAGGUGUGGUGGCAUCCAGCUGUGGCUGCAGGAGAGCACGGAAGGCUGUAAGCAACUGUGCUUUUGUCACAAGUCUGUCCUUGGAUCUGAAGCAGGUAUUUUUGCUGGAAGUGGUCAUCCUGAGACUCCUGGUGUUUUUCUCUAGUAGUGGUGAGCUAACAUACCAGCAUGGUGCCAUGGCAAGCGGGGGAAUGAGGGAAGAAGAGGAAAAGUUGUGGCUCUCAAAGCAUAACCUAGAGCAGAGGUGCUGGCUGUUGCUGCGAGGUAUCAUUUGGACCAUUUCCCUCCUCUAAGAGAAGUGAUCUGUGCUGGCCAAAUGCCAGCUGAGAAGUUAUAUUCUCUCCUGAUAUGUUGUGUAGAGUCAACAUCUUCCCUGGCUGGUUUUCCAGGCUCACUGAGACUGGAUUGUGUGGAAACCGUGUCCUGGUUGGAGCACUUGCCAGUCUACCUGGACAGAGCUUUAACACUUUUGGAGUUCAUUUGUGAAGAUCAAAAGUGACCACUGUGUUGAGCAACGUAAAUCUUGUCUCCCUGAAUCCAGACUGAGAUUCAUUUGGCACUCUCAGGUGUUAACCUUCAUUUUUUCAGAUAACAAAGUGACCAGUCCUUUGCUGUGUGGAACUUCUUCAGACUCCAGCUUAGACCCGUUUGCUCAUCUGCAGUUACUCUUGGAGGAGGUUUAAAAAUACACAGCAAAGCCUGUCUUAGGAGACCAGUCAAGGAGCUGACGAAAGUGGGUUGCCUAGCAGAGGUGGCCUAAUAAAAUUGGAGUGGAAUUAUACUGUGCAUCUUUGGGGCGGCUUCUGGGUGGUCUGUUUGGACGAGUUCACGUCCUGCUGGUGUGGAGUCUCGUGUGGGUUUCACUGUGUUGUCAAGUGAACUGAGAUGUGUUUGUUUCCCAGCCUUGUAGGGUGCCAUAGCUCCAGCAAGUGCUCCCCUAAGUAAUCAGCGCCUUCGGCCUCACACAUUGUGAUCUCACAAGCCAUCGCGUCUGUGAUGUCACAAUGGAAGAGAUUCUGGUGCUCUGACAUAUGUGGUCAGCCAAGGAACCCAGCGGGAAGAAUGAGCUCAAGAAAUGGGAGAGACCUUCCUUAACCCGAGAGUGCCCUCCGGCCUUUAGUCAGCCCUUCCCAUAUUCACUUGUCUCUUCCAUAAUGGCACUUAGAGGGAAACCAGUGCUUGUGUAGACUGAAUUAUUUUUUUCAGUUGAACUACUGAGAUGCAUGUUUCUCCCAGAUGAGUGGUUGCCCAACUAUCCUCCUGUAACCUUCAUUCUUUUCUGCUGUUCACCUCACUUGUUGUAUUGCUUCUAAUUUUAGACUGUAAGUUCUUGAGAACAGGGACCUCUUCGUCUGUAGUGGGAAGAGCCUGGGUGCAAUUGUGGAGUGCUGUAAAAACAAAAUGAUGGAUGCCAAGCUGUGUCUGAGCUGAGUAAUGAUGGGGCAGCAUAUAGGCAUGCCGUGGCAAUGCUUUGGGAAAGUUACAUUACAUAUUUUCCAAAACACAGGCUUGGUUGUCUAGCAGUGCCCGAGACAAACCCGGCCAAACGUGAAGGGAGUGCAGCCAUGGAAUUGUACUGUUUUCAUGUUCAAGAGAUGGUGCUGUGAGGUCAACAAAUUAAAGAUGCAGAUUUACCUGUCUAAAAUUGUGUUACUUUAUUAAAUGGUUCUAAAAGCUUUGUCUUUUGUUGUUUGUUUUACUUUAUGUAUUUAUUUUUUUUUGCAAGGUUGGAUGGUGAGAGUGGAUAAGCUGGUCUUGUUUCUUGUUUCCUGCCUCACAGUCUAGCCAGGUGCUGUCAUUUUUGGACUGUAGUUCAUCUAAUGAAAUAUUUGGGUUUAGGUUAAGGUUGAUUUAAAAAAAAAUCUGAGUUAUCUCUAUUGUUCUUCAGUUAUAUUUUCACACAAGUGAAAUAUGGGCUCACAUUUGACCUCUGAGUAUGCAUUUGAACAGCUACCAAAAUUGAAGUCCUGCAUUUUUUUGUUAUACUGUGUUCCAGAUGUUGCUAAAUGUAUGCAAUUUUGUUCUAUCAAAAGCAUCUCUAUUACCCUAUCUUUUUACAAUUUAAUAAAAUAGACAAACCUGA